rnacentral:rRNA from 1 species
AAGAAAGUAAACAAGGGCGCAUGGAGGAUGCCUAGGCUCUCGGAGGCGAAGAAGGACGUGAUAAGCUGCGAAAAAGUUACGGUAAGGCGCAAAUAGCCCUAGACCCGUAAAUAUCCGAAUGGGGCAACCCGGCCAGCAAUGGCCAUACCGCCAAGCGGUAAGCCAACGCGGGGAACUGAAACAUCUAAGUACCCGCAGGAAAAGAAAAUAACAAUGAUUCCGCCAGUAGUGGCGAGCGAACGCGGAACAGCCCAAACCACCCGUGUUACGGCACGGGUGGGGUAGAAGGAUCCACGACACGGCAAGAAAUAAGUUAGCGGAAUACGAUGGAAAUCGUAGCCAAAGACGGUGACAGCCCAGUACGCGAAAACCGACAGAAGCCCAGUGGACACCUGAGUAACCCAGGACACGAGAAAUCCGGGGCAAUCAGCGGGCCAUCCCGUAAGGCUAAAUACUCCCGAGAGACCGAUA